rnacentral:rRNA from 1 species
UUUCGCAAUGCCCGAAAGGGUGACGAAGCGACGCCGCGUGUGGGAAGAAGGCCUUCGGGUUGUAAACCACUGUCGGGAGUUAGGAAAUGCAGGUGCGUUAAUAGCGCACUUGCUUGACUAAGGCUCCAGAGGAAGCCACGGCUAACCCUGUGCCAGCAGCCGCGGUAAUACAGAGGCGGCAAGCGUUGUUCGGAAUUAUUGGGCGUAAAGAGCACGUAGGCGGCCUUGCAAGUCAGUUGUGAAAGCCUUCCGCUUAACGGAAGAACGGCAUCUGAUACUACAGGGCUUGAGUACGGGAGGGGAGAGUGGAACUUCUGGUGGAGCGGUGAAAUGCGUAGAUAUCAGAAGGAACGCCGGCGGCGAAAGCGACUCUCUGGUCCGAAACUGACGCUGAGUGUGCGAAAGCUAGGGGAGCAAACGGGAUUAGAUACCCCGGUAGUCCUAGCCGUAAACGAUGGGCACUAAGUAGAGGGGUUUU